rfam:Stegodyphus mimosarum contig101856, whole genome shotgun sequence.
GCCUUCGUGGUGUAGUGGUCAGCAUGCUCGACGCGUAUUCGAGAGGUCCGUGGUUCGACUCCCGGCGAGGACA